CCUACGGGUGGCAGCAGUAGGGAAUUUUCGGCAAUGGGGGGAACCCUGACCGAGCAACGCCGCGUGAAGGAAGAAGGAAUUAGGUCUGUCAACUUCUGUUAUAAAGGAAGAAAGACGGAUGGAGGAAAUGACAUCCGAGUGACGGUACUUUAUGAGAAAGCCACGGCUAACUACGUGCCAGCAGCCGCGGUAAUGCGUAGGUGGCAAGCUUUAUCCGUAAUUAUUGGGCGUAAAGAGGGAGCAGUCGGCAGCAAAGGUCUGUGGUGAAAGACUGAAGCUUAACGUCAGUAAGCCAUAGAGACUGGGCAGCUAGAGUGCAGGAGAGGAUCGUGGAAUUCGAUGUGUAGCGGUGAAAUGCGUAGAUAUAUGGAGGAACACCAGUUGCGAAGGCGACGAUCUGGCCUGCAACUGACGCUCAGUCCCGAAAGCGUGGGGAGCAAAUAGGAUUAGAUACCCCGGUAGUC
rnacentral:rRNA from 1 species